UACGUAGGGUGCGAGCGUUAAUCGGAAUUACUGGGCGUAAAGCGUGCGCAGGCGGUUUUAUAAGCCAGAUGUGAAAGCCCCGGGCUCAACCUGGGAAUGGCAUUUGGGACUGUAAGGCUGGAGUAUGGCAGAGGAGACUAGAAUUCCUGGUGUAGCAGUGAAAUGCGUAGAUAUCAGGAGGAACACCGAUGGCGAAGGCAGCCCCCUGGGCCAAUACUGACGCUCAGGCACGAAAGCGUGGGGAGCAAACAGG
rnacentral:rRNA from 1 species